rnacentral:rRNA from 1 species
GACGAACGCUGGCUGCGUGCCUAAUACAUGCAAGUCGAACUUAGUGGCGAACGGGUGAGUAACACGUGGGUCACCUGCCCAUCAGAAGGGGAUAACACUUGGAAACAGGUGCUACUAACGUAUACGGGUGGAUGGACCAGCGGUGCAUUAGCUAGUUGUUGAGGUAACGGCUCACCAAGGCCACGAUGCAUAGCCGACCUGAGAGGGGGAUCGGCCACAUUGGGACUGAUACACGGCCCAAACUCCUACGGGAGGCAGCAGUAGGGAAUCUUCGGCAAUGGACGAAAGUCUGACCGAGCAACGCCGCGUGAGUGAAGAAGGUUUUCGGAUCGUAAAACUCUGUUGUUAGAGAAGCGGUAUCUAACCAGAAAGCCACGGCUAACUACGUGCCAGCAGCCGCGGUAAUAC